AGCGUAGGCGGUCAAUUAAGUUGGAUGUGAAAUACCCCGGGGCUUAACUUGGGGGGUGCAUCCAAUACUGGUUGACUAGAGUACAGGAGAGGAAAGCGGAAUUCCUAGUGUAGCGGUGAAAUGCAUAGAUAUUAGGAGGAACAUCGGUGGCGAAGGCGGCUUUCUGGACUGACACUGACGCUGAGGCUCGAAAGCGUGGGGGAGCAAACA
rnacentral:rRNA from 1 species